rnacentral:rRNA from 1 species
UUCCAGAGAUGGAUUCGUGCUCGAAAGAGAGCCAUAACACAGGUGCUGCAUGGCUGUCGUCAGCUCGUGUCGUGAGAUGUUGGGUUAAGUCCCGCAACGAGCGCAACCCUUGUCAUUAGUUGCUACAUUCAGUUGGGCACUCUAAUGAGACUGCCGGUGACAAACCGGAGGAAGGUGGGGAUGACGUCAAGUCCUCAUGGCCCUUAUAGGUGGGGCUACACACGUCAUACAAUGGCCGGUACAAAGGGUCGCAAACCCGCGAGGGGGAGCCAAUCCAUCAAAGCCGGUCGUAGUCCGGAUCGCAGUCUGCAACUCGACUGCGUGAAGUCGGAAUCGCUAGUAAUCGUGGAUCAGCAUGUCACGGUGAAUACGUUCCCGGGUCUU